rnacentral:rRNA from 1 species
CCCUUAGAUGUCCUGGGCCGCACGCGCGCUACACUGCCAUGUUCAACAAGCCUCCUAGUUCGACAGGAUUUGGGAAAUCUUUGAACGCAUGUCGUGAUAGGGAUAGAUCAUUGCAAUUAUUGAUCUUGAACGAGGAAUUCCUAGUAAACGCGAGUCAUCAGCUCGCAUUGAUUACGUCCCUGCCCUUUGUACACACCGCCCGUCGCACCUACCGAUUGAAUGUUUCGGUGAAGAUUCCGGAUAGGACUUUUUUGAUUUAUUUCAAUUUUGUCUUAAAAGCUAUCUAAACCUCAACAUUUAGAGGAAGGUGAAGUCGUAACA